GUUCGAUUCUGGCCUGUGAUUGAACGCUGGCGGGAUGCUUUACACAUGGAAUGAACGGCAGCACGGACUUCGGUCUGGUGGCGAGUGGCGAACGGGUGAGUAAUGUAUCGGAACGUGCCUAGUAGCGGGGAUAACUACGCGAAAGCGUAGCUACUGCUUCCCUGGCAUACGCCCUCGGGGAAAGCGGGGACCCUGGCCUCGCACCAUUAGAGCGGCCGGAUAUCGGAUUAGCUAGUUGGUGGGGUAACGGCUCACUGGGUGCGACGAUCCGUAGCUGGUUUGAGACGACUGUAGCCACACUGGGACUGGAGACACUACUGUGACUAAAGCGGGAGGCAGCAGGGGGAAUUUUGGACAAUGGGGGAAACCCUGAUCCAGCCAUCCCAUGUGCGAUGAAGGCCUUCGGGUUGUAGUUAACUUUGGCAGGGAACGGCACGGAUAAUACCUGUGCAACUGACGGUACCUGCAGAAUAAGCACCGCCAACCGGCCGUGCCAGCAGCCGCGGUAAUACGUAGGGUGCAAGCGUUAAUCGGAAUUACUGGGCGUAAAAGCGUGCGCAGGCGGUUCGGAAAGAAAGAUGUGAAAUCCCAGAGCUUAACUUCUUGGAACCGCAUUUUUAACUACCGAGCUAGAGUGUAAGCCGAGGGAGGUGGAAUUCCGCGUAGCAGUGAAAUGCGUAGAUACGCGGAGGAACACUGAUGGCGAAGGCAGCCUCCUGGGAUAACACUGACGCUCAUGCACGAAAGGGGAGCAAACAGAUUAGAUACCCUGGUAGUCCACGCCCUAAACGAUGUCAACUAGCUGUUGGGGCUCACCUUGGUAGCGCAGCUAACGCAGGAAGUUGACCGCCUGGGGAGUACGGUCGCAAGAUUAAAAACUCAAAGGAAUUGACGGGGACUCCGUACAAGCGGUGGAUGAUGUGGAUUAAUUCGAUGCAACGCGAAAACCUUACCUACCCUUGACAUGUCUGGAAUCCCGAAGAGAUUUGGGAGUGCCCGCAAGAGAACCGGAACACAGGUGCCGCAUGGCUGUCGUCAGCUCGUGUCGAGAUGUUGGGUUAAGUCCUGCAACGAGCGUAACCCUUGUCAUUAGUUGCUACGAAAGGGCACUCUUAAUGAGACUGCCGGUGACAAACCGGAGGAAGGUGGGAUGAUGUCAAGUCCUCAUGGCCCUUAUGGGUAGGGCUUUCACACUGCCAUACAAUGGUCGUAGACAGAGGGUCGCCAACCCGCGAGGGGAGCCAAUCCCAGAAACCCGAUCGAAACCGGAUCGCAGUCUGCAACCUGACUCUGCGUGCAGUCAGAAUCGCUAGUAAUCGCGGAUCAGCAUGUCGCGGUGAAUACGUUCCCGGGUCUUGUACACACCGCUCAUUACACCAUGGGAGUGGGUUUUACCAGAAGUAGUUAGCUCACCGUAAGGAGGGCGAUUACCACGGUAGGAUUCAUGACUGGGGUGAAGUCGUAACAAGGUAGCUCAGCCAUUACCAUGC
rnacentral:rRNA from 1 species